GGCAAGGGCCAGCAACGCCAUGGACGGCUGGGGACAAAAUGUGCUGUUUCCAAGGAGAGGACAGCUGGGUGCUCCUUUGUUGAGUCUCAUAUCCAGUGUUUCUCUUCACAGGUUUUGCAAACUAGGGACCAGAAAGCCCUCAGGGACUCUGCCAGGGGAGAAGACUGCUCCAGGGAAGACCAGCGGGUAAGGCCUCGGGGACUGAGUACCUGGUCUGUGAUUGGGGGACUAGAUAGGGAUCCGUCAGAGUCGUCUGGUAAAUAGUGACUUUCUGUAUGUUUUUUAAAAGUCUGAAGGUUGAUAAUUCAAAUGCUUUCUUAAAUGUAAAGGUCUUCCACUUCGAAACAAAAAAUGAAAAUACCUCACUCUGGACAUGUAACAAUAUCUGAAGGAGACUUAGUUUAGAAUGGUUGAAACUGACAAUUCAGAGACUUAAACUCGGGCAUGACUGUGCGCUAUGCAUACAACCUCUGACAACCCAGAAUGAAUGCAUUUUGCCCUAAAGGAAAAAAAAA
rnacentral:lncRNA from 1 species